GAUGAACGCUAGCGAUAGGCUUAACACAUGCAAGUCGAGGGGCAGCAUGGUCUUAGCUUGCUAAGACUGAUGGCGACCGGCGCACGGGUGCGUAACGCGUAUGCAACUUGCCUCACAGAGGGGGAUAACCCGUCGAAAGACGGACUAAUACCGCGUACACUUGGGAUAGGGCAUCCUGACCCAAGGAAAUGAAAUUCGCUGUGAGAUAGGCAUGCGUCCCAUUAGCUAGUUGGUGAGGUAACGGCUCACCAAGGCGACGAUGGGUAGGGGAACUGAGAGGUUGAACCCCCACACUGGUACUGAGACACGGACCAGACUCCUACAGGAGGCAGCAGUGAGGAAUAUUGGUCAAUGGGCGAGAGCCUGAACCAGCCAAGUCGCGUGAAGGAUGACUGUCUUAUGGAUUGUAAACUUCUUUUAUACGGGAAUAACAAGAGUCACGUGUGGCUCCCUGCAUGUACCGUAUGAAUAAGCAUCGGCUAACUCCGUG
rnacentral:rRNA from 1 species